GCACGGAGAAGCGAGCCCUGGGCGGGCGGCUAGGGGCUCCCAGUCCCGGCGCCGGGAUCCAGCGCUCCCGGGCGGGGCCAGCUCGCAGAGCCUCCCCUACCUGCCCUCGUCUUUCAAGCUUCUCCAGCGGCGGCGCACUGUGCAUGAAGUACCGAGAGUUGGCUAUCCCCGGCGUUGUGUGGCAUCAGUUCAGCAGGAAGACAAAUGAAUGGACACAAGCUGAUCCACCACACUCCCAGCCAACUGCUCAAACAAGAUUCUCCGUGGAGGAGGAGAACCAGCUGUCGUGCUAACACCUGUCAUCCAAGCACCCAGCAGCAGAGGCAGGAGGACCAGGAGUUUAAGGCUGGUCUGCGCUACACAGCGAGGCCCUGUCUCAAAAGAAAAGGUAAAGCUGGAGGUGGCAGUGGUGAUCCCAGCACUUGGGAGGUAGAGGCAGGUGGAUCUCUGUGAGUUCAAAGCCCAGCCUGGUCGACAAAGCGAGUUCCAGGACAGCCAGGGUCACACAGAGAGACUCGGUCUCAAAAACAGACAAACAAACAAACAAACAAAAAAACAAACAAACAAAUUCUACUGACCUAUCAACAGUUCCAUUUCACAGAAAGACAAACUCAGACGGGGUAAUGCAACAUGGUGGGAAAAGUCUGGUUGGCUUAAAAAAUAGGGUAGUUUGGAGCUAACAAGAUGACUCAGCAGUUAAGAGCACAGACUGUUCUCCUGGAGGAACCAGGUUUGUAUUUCCAGCACUCACAUGGCAGCUCACAACUGUCUGUAACUAACUCCUGCUCCAGAAGAUCUGACAGCCACACACACUCAUGCAUGCAGUCAAAUACCAGUGCGUAUUAAAUAAAAAUAUUUUUUUUUAAAAAAGUGGGGUUUUGAGAGAGGCUCAAGCUGGCCCGAAACUAACGAUGCUCCUGUCUCAGCCUUCCUAAUGUGGAGGUGACAGAAGUGAGUUCCCAUACUGGGUUUGAAUUCCAACUCUUUUGUUUGUUUGUUUGUUUCAUUUUCAAGGCAGGAUUUCCCUGGCUGUCCUGGACUCACUUUGUAGACCGGGCUGGCCUUGAACUCACAGAGAUCUGCCUGCCUCUGCCUCCCAGAGUGCUGGGAUUACAGGUGUGUGCCAUCAUGCCUGGCUUUGUGGAGAGCUGCUUGUUGUCAAGCUGCUUAACAAAGCAGCAAAAAACAUGUUUUCACCCUGGCCUUCGCCUGGAGACACAGAAAAGAAGUUUCACCAAAUUCCUUAAAAAUGGUUUGUGUGACCUUGGACUGCAUCUGCUACAGGGAAGUAGUUUUAGAAAACAAGUUUGGCAGUUCCAUGAACUUCUUUCUUGUAUUGAUGUGACUUGUUGUUGCUCUGCCUAUAAAAAGGAAUUGUGGAAUAAACUCACGCUGCAGUCUUACUG